rnacentral:rRNA from 1 species
UACGAAGGGGGCUAGCGUUGUUCGGAAUCACUGGGCGUAAAGCGCACGCAGGCGGAUUGCUAAGUCAGGGGUGAAAUCCUGGAGCUCAACUCCAGAACUGCCUUUGAUACUGGCGAUCUCGAGUCCGGGAGAGGUGAGUGGAACUGCGAGUGUAGAGGUGAAAUUCGUAGAUAUUCGCAAGAACACCAGUGGCGAAGGCGGCUCACUGGCCCGGUACUGACGCUGAGGUGCGAAAGCGUGGGGAGCAAACAGG